AUUGAACGCUGGCGGCAGGCUUAACACAUGCAAGUCGAGCGGAGCGAGGGUGCUUGCACCUUAGCUUAGCGGCGGACGGGUGAGUAAUGCUUAGGAAUCUGCCUAUUAGUGGGGGACAACAUUCCGAAAGGAAUGCUAAUACCGCAUACGCCCUACGGGGGAAAGCAGGGGAUCUUCGGACCUUGAGCUAAUAGAUGAGCCUAAGUCGGAUUAGGUAGUUGGUGGGGUAAAGGCCUACCAAGGCGACGAUCUGUAGCGGGUCUGAGAGGAUGAUCCGCCACACUGGGACUGAGACACGGCCCAGACUCCUACGGGAGGCAGCGGUGGGGAAUAUUGGACAAUGGGCGGAAGCCUGAUCCAGCCAUGCCGCGUGUGUGAAGAAGGCCUUUUGGUUGUAAAGCACUUUAAGCGAGGAGGAGGCUACUUAGAUUAAUACUCUGGGAUAGUGGACGUUACUCGCAGAAUAAGCACCGGCUAACUCUGUGCCAGCAGCCGCAGUAACAC
rnacentral:rRNA from 1 species